GACGAACCGUGCGAACGUUAUUCGGAUUCACUGGGCUUAAAGCGCGUGUAGGCGGGCCGGCACGUCGGAUGCUGAAAGCCCCCGGCUCAACCGGGGAACGGGCACCGAUACGACCGGCCUGGAGGGGGGUAGGGGGAGCCGGAACUUCCGGUGGAGCGGUGAAAUGCGUUGAGAUCGGAAGGAACGCCCGUGGCGAAAGCGGGCUCCUGGACCCCACCUGACGCUGAGACGCGAAAGCCAGGGAGCAAACGGG
rnacentral:rRNA from 1 species